GUCAGAGUUUUCAUUUGUUUUAUCUCCUGAUGUGAGAUCUAAAUAAGUAUGUAGAACACUUAAAAUUCUUACCAUUUCUCUGCUUUCUGAGAAAUAAAUCUCAUGCAUACUGCACAAUAUAUUUUCUUACGCAUAACAUGCUUCCAUGUAAUGAGAAAAAAAAAAACUAAUUUGAGGAAGAAUCCUGUGUACUUCCUGCAGACAUAAAGCAGAAGUAUUAACCCAGAGGAACACUGGUCCUUCUUUCAUCCUCAUCCUCACUGUCAUCUUCCUCAUAAUCAUUCUUGAAAAGCAUUUAAGUCUUCACCAGUACCAGGUGUGGUAUCAGGAGGUUCGCAAGUAACUACCACCUGAAGGUCAAGUUCUCUUUUGUGCCAUUUGAUUUGUGCAAACCACCACUCCAAAGGCCUCAUAGAAUUAAGCAGAAUGAGAUGCCUCAGUAUUGAAUUUAAAGACACUUAAGUUAUGAUGGAAAAGUAGAAUGCUCUUUCUCACCACUCAAAAUUGAAGAAGAUCAAGAACACUGGGCACCUUGCACUCUUCAAAGGCACUGAGCUGAGGGCAGCACCUGAAACAACUUUUCCCUGCCACCUACAGCCCUGAGACUGGAACAGGAAGAAAGUUCUCAUAGGAAAAUAAACUAGCUCAGUCCUCUUCCAACUAGUGUACUUACUUCUCUAUACUUUACUAGCUUUAUUGUUUUGCUCAGUUCCUGGGUAUUUCACUGUCUCAAUUCAGAUGACCCUCCUAAAAUCCAGUGAUUUCAUGUUUUGACAAUAAAAAGUUUUACCAUGUUAACCAAUGCCCUAAUGUGAAUGGGCAGGUAUUGGGGCUUCAGCAUUUCAUAUGUUACUUGCAGAUUUCAAACAGCUUUUUUUUGUGGUCAAAAUUCUCCUGUUUCGGACAGUAAGAGGUGAGUGGACAAUUGCCAAAUGCAACUUUCAAACUUAAUCUAGUCAGAUCAUUUAAAA